CCCGCUGAACUUAAGCAUAUCAAUAAGCGGAGGAAAAGAAACUAACAAGGAUUCCCCUAGUAACUGCGAGUGAAGCGGGAAGAGCUCAAAUUUAAAAUCUGGCGGCCUUGGCCGUCCGAGUUGUAAUUUAGAGAAGCGUUUUCCGCGCCGGACCGUGUACAAGUCUCCUGGAACGGAGCGUCACAGAGGGUGAGAAUCCCGUCUCUGACACGGACGCCCGGUGCUAUGUGAUACGCUCUCGAAGAGUCGAGUUGUUUGGGAAUGCAGCUCAAAAUGGGUGGUGAACUCCAUCUAAAGCUAAAUAUUGGCGAGAGACCGAUAGCGAACAAGUACCGUGAGGGAAAGAUGAAAAGCACUUUGGAAAGAGAGUGAAACAGUACGUGAAAUUGCUGAAAGGGAAACGCUUGAAGUCAGUCGCGUCGGCCGGAAUUCAGCCCCAGUGGUGUACUUUCCGGCGGACGGGCCAGCAUCAUUUUCGAGCGUCGGAAAAGGGCGGGAGGAAUGUGGCACCCUCGGGUGUGUUAUAGCCUUCCGUCGUAUACGACGUUGGAGAGUGAGGACCGCCUAUUUGUAGGAUGCUGGCAUAAUGGCUUUAAACGACCCGUCUUGAAACACGG
rnacentral:rRNA from 1 species